UCGAAAAAUUGGUUUGGAAAAGAAACGAAUUAUGUUAGAAGUCAUCCUCAGGUUUACAGGCGUGCGAUUUGUCGAGUUGUGUUAUACUCCUCAACGCGGAUUAUUAUUUUUACGAGAGCUCCUGUUGUAAGAGGAAAACCUUCUGUCGAUAUUUACCAUCAUAUCAUUUUGAGAGGAAAUGAACUAAAAGGAAGAGUUUUUACUAAGAAAUCAUGCCAAAAAGAAGAAAGAGGUAAGAAACAGGGAAAGGAAGAAGAAAAAGCCUCUUAUUUGACUAGUUUAUUAAAAAUUAAAUUGAGAAAUUUUUCAUGACAUUUGACAUUGAUUACACUAAUUAACUUAGCUAAGCAUUACGCGCCAUUUGCGGUUUAUUGCCUGUGUUAAAAAUACCAAAACUUUUUUGUACCCUUGUAUAAUAAAGUUCUAGUAAAAAAUUCUAAUUAUACAAUCUUUUCUUGUAAAAAAAGUAUUCUUAGUAAAUGUCAGCCUGAGAAUCCGUUUAUUAGAUAUCUUAAUUUUAAAAUCUAGAUACUUCUUUCUAAACAAAUUGGCUGACCUCGGGCACCAGUAACUUUUUACGUACUGUCAAAGUGACAAAUUUAAACGCUUCUGACGCUCUUCACAAGCUUCUCAAUUACUCCCAAAAUAAAUCUACAUUUUUUAAUAACAUAUUUGUAUUUCAUGUGUUUUCUUACAACUUAUAAAACACAUAAUGGCUCAUAGACCAAUAAAUUUACCCUUUUCCGAAAUGUCGGAUAUGGUUUUGAUGUUUAGUAAGUAUUAAAUAUUAUUGUAAACAGUAAACACCUGUCAAUUCCUAACUAGGAAAUGUGACUCCAAUGCUAGACACUAUGUCCAGACAUUCCCAAACCGAUUUCAUUCAAAAUAUUUUUUAAAUUUGAUUAACCGUCUAAGGGAGACUAAAGUUUUAGCGAAAGACGGGAGGAUAAUUGCGGCCAACCUCGUGCGGUUCAACCAGGGCAAGAGGAAGAAAUUUUAAGAAUUUUCGAAGAAUCACCAAACAUUAGUACUAAGGUUUUGGCUGAACGUGUGAGAAAUAUUGGGAAAACCGAGACACAAUAUUUUAUGGAGUCAACAACUUUACCCAUUUCAUCUUCAAACUUCAGGUCUUUUACCCAACGAUUCUGAGGCAGGACUUUUGAAGAUGGUUGUGUGAAAUGAAUAAUAGAAAUGUGGAUUUUAUAAGGGUGAUUCUGUUUACUGAAGAAGCUACGUUCACGAGAAACGGCAUGACAAAUAUCCAUAACGCACACAUAUGAGCUGAAGAGAAUCCUAGGGUCAUAGUUCAGACACAUCAUCAAGUAAAUUUUAAAGUCAAUGUGUGGACAGGUGUUGUGGAUAACUUUCUCUUAGGACCUGUUAUUUUACCAGAUUCCGAUUUUCGUAUGCAUUUAUGUCUGUGACGUAACAUAUAAAGCAGCUCAAAAGCUCACUGCAAAUGUACUCGCAGUAUCCACGACCUUCAAAGAUGAUCCAGAAAUAUACGAGAAGCUAAAGGACUUAUCAUUCAAACUUCAAAUGCUUCAAAAGGGUUUCACCGCUGCCAGAUUCAUAAAUGUGGAUAGAAAAGUUGCUGUAUCACUUCUGUCUGCUGUUGGUACUUACUUUUUUGUCAUACAGCAAAUGUAUAUUCCAAGAAGGAACUAUUAAAAUAAAAUAUAUUUACAAGUGUUAUUAUAAUAUUUUUUAACUAGUAAUUGUAUUUAUUGUACACAUCUUGUAAAAAUUCCAAUAUUUUUGUGCGCUUUUAAUAUAUAGUGUAUGCUAGCAAA